rnacentral:ncRNA from 1 species
GCAAAGUCGAAGAUGGGGAGUUCCUGGGGGUUUUUGGUCUCAGAGAGGAAGGUUCGCGGCUGUAAAACCUUCUGUCCGAUACUUAGGAUGUAGCCCCGGAGUUGUCAGGCUGAAGGACUAGUAAGCCUGGACGGGCCGGCCCGUUACAGCCAAAAGAGUUGCCACCUUAGAGUUUUUUAUUUGCGGGUGGAAACAAGGUGGUACCGCGGAACAAAUGCUUCCGUCCUUGUC